rnacentral:rRNA from 1 species
UACGAAGGGGGCUAGCGUUGUUCGGAAUUACUGGGCGUAAAGCGCACGUAGGCGGACUAUUAAGUCGGGGGUGAAAUCCUGGAGCUCAACUCCAGAACUGCCUUCGAUACUGGCGAUCUUGAGUCCGGAAGAGGUGAGUGGAACUCCUAGUGUAGAGGUGGAAUUCGUAGAUAUUAGGAAGAACACCAGUGGCGAAGGCGGCUCACUGGUCCGGUACUGACGCUGAGGUGCGAAAGCGUGGGGAGCAAACAGG